rnacentral:rRNA from 1 species
GGAUGGACUUACCGCUGGUGUACCAGUUGUUCCGCCAGGAGCACGGCUGGAUAGCUAUGUAGGGAAGGGAUAAGCGCUGAAAGCAUCUAAGUGCGAAGCCCACCUCAAGAUGAGAUUACCCAUUCGUAAGAAUUAAGAGCCCAGAGAGAUGAUCUGGUAGAUAGGCUGGAAGUGGAAGAGUUGCGAGACUUGGAGCGGACCAGUACUAAUCGCUCGAGGACUUUACCAAAA